rnacentral:lncRNA from 1 species
UGCUGUUUUAAUUACUUUAGAGCAUUUAAACAUUUUAUAAAAGUGUGGUUUCUCCACAAUAAUUACCUAUGCAUUAUUUGGCAACACCCCAACAGUUUAGUUUCAAUAUUUGAAAAUCUUUACCGCUUGACUUUAUUUUAAGUUUGAAUUUCGAAUCGAUUUUGAACUAACACGAGAUUAACAACAGUAACUGUUGAGGAUAUAGACCUUAGAGUCACCCGCCAGGAGGGGCCGGGUUACUCAUAAUGGUCAUAGCCAGAAGCCCGGCGCCAAGCUUGAAGACGGUGGGCCAAAGAUGGGCUUAAGAUUCGGAUAUGGCUUAAGGCCCAUAGUUACAAUCAUCAUUAUGGUAGAACUUGUAGUGUAAGGCAAGAAUAGUUGAGAGUUCGAGCCGGACACUGUUAUGAGCCGGCCGGGACUCUGAGAGCCGCUGGGCGUCAGCCUCCCUAUAUAAAGGGACGACCCGGCAGCGGUUUAGGGACAAGAAAGAUCUCAUCGAGAACCGGGCAUAGCAGUUAAGCUCCCUGGUCAUCGAAACCCUAAUCAAUACCACCUCAACUGGACGUAGGCUUUUACCUUCACCGUAAGGGGCUGAACCAGUAUAAACCCUCGUGUUCCUUGUCCCGUUAACCCCUUCAAGCUUCCUGGCGGCGAUGGCUUCAUGACUAAGUCCUAGCUUGAGGACAUCUGCCGUGACAAUUCCACGACAGUUGGCGCCCACCGUGGGGCCAGCGCACGGUGGAUUUGAGUUCUUGAAGGGCAGUUUCGAAGGGCUCAAGGGAUACGCUGUGGGCCGGAUGACCAAGAGUCGUCGCCGCAAGCUCUACAUCGACGAUGCAAACUGGGGCCCCGACGCCGGCUCAAUUGAGUACGGGUACCGGGUCCCCUUUGGCGGAAUUCAUGUUUUCAUUGGUAAGAUUGGUGAGCCGGGCCCUGAGCCGGAUCUCUGCGCGCACGACCCGCUCGGGCCCUGCCUGCCUUAAAGCAUGCUUUUGUGGGAUGUAUCCAUGGAGGGCUCUCUGAUAGAUCUGGAUCUGGUGAUGAGACGGCCGCCGGCUCUGACGGCGAGUCGUCUAUCGAUGAGUCAAACUUGUUGUAUCAACUUCAAGAUGGCAGGCUCAUGGGUUGUUCCGAUGGUGACAUUAUUCCGGACCCGUUUGAGCCGCCAAGCCGUGUUGGAAUCUUCAUGGCCGGUGCGCAGCCUGUUCAGAACCCCGCUGCUGGAGCGGGAAACCCGGUGCCCUCGCCAGCUCAGGUGCUGAUGGAUCUCACGGACAAGAUGACGGCCCUGUUGACCGCCGCGGUUGACCCGGCGGAUCAAGCUCAGCAUGAUGCGGAGGUGGCGCAGUUAAAGUUAGAUCUAGUGAAAGCUAAGGAGGAUCUAGCAGCGGAAGGGACCAGGAUGGCUGCGGAGAGGGCGGCUCUCGACGCCCAAACUCAGUUGAUCCAGGCGCAGUCCUUCCGGCUCACGAUGGAUCAGAACGCGUCCAAUGAGGUCAUGAGAAGGAGGCACCAAAAGGCCCAAUCUCGACUCCCUCCGGUUUACGAUCCUCGAAACCUCUUCAACACGCCAGGUGCAGGGUCUAGUAACCCGCCGGGGAUCAUAGUGCCCGGGUCUGGGAACCCUAUCCAGCCGCAAGUGAUGGGGCCUCCCCGGGUGAGCCCUGCCCCGCCUCAGUAUGUGUUAAUACCAUCGGGUCAUUAUGCUAACCCGCUGGAGAACAUGGUAGCCGCAGCAGGGCGGCUGGCGGCCCUCCCAAUUGACGGCGACUCUCCGACGGCUAUUGAAUCCUGCCGGGUCAGGGAACUCCUUCAGGCAGCACUGGCGCAGCAAGAGGCGUACUCCUACAGCCGGGACAGGAUCCACUCGACCCCUCGUCCAGGCCGGAGUCCGAGUUACAGCAGACACAUGGUCUCAGCGACUGGCUCAAGUAACGUCCGACGCCAUGACCCGCCCCCUGGCCAUGGCCCGGCUCAUAACGGAGCCUUUCACGCAGCAGGUGCCUGAGUUGACGGCUUACCAGACUCCCCCGGCUUAUCCGACGACUUCCGUCGACGUGGGUAUCCCUACCAGGACUGGGGGUGUCCCUUGUUUAGUGCCGGCUCUCCGCAAUGAACGUCUACCCAAGGACCUCAAGGGCUCUAGAAAGGUGCCUAAUUACACAGCUGACUUACAACCCGCAGCCUGGAUCGAGAGUUACGAGAUGGCCAUGGAACUGCUAGAAGUCAGUGAAGCGGCAAUGGCCAAGUACUUCACCAUGAUGUUGGAUGGGACUGCCCGCACUUGGUUGAAAGGGCUACCACCGAAUUCCAUCGGGUCUUGGGCUGAGCUGAAAGCCCGGUUCAUCCAAAAUUUCAAGGAUACCUGUAGGCAGUCUAUGUCAAUUGUGUAUUUGACUAACUGUAAGCAGCAGGAGGGUGAGUCUACGACACAUCGGGUUCGCCGGGUUAAGGAGAUAAUACAUUCAUCUGAUAAGAUGGAUGCCGGCUCUGCAGUCUUAAUGUUGGAACAGAAUUGUCGUUUCGUGCCCCUGAAGAUGAAACUUGGGCGGCUUAAGCGCGACUGCAAUGAUAUGGGUGCACUGAUGGCGGCUCUCGUCAAAUACACCGAUUCUGAUGGUACCAAGGACCCCGCUUCAGAUGAUGAAAGGACAGGGAAGGGAAAGAAGAACGGCAAUGGCAAGGGCCCUCAGCAUAACCUGGGGAACCAAGGAGGUGGCAAGCGCAAGGCCGAUGGCAGCCUAGAGUUCGUAGCCAACGCCAGCUCACAAGGUAAUAACCAGCGACGCAAGGGGAGGCCCCCUCCCCGAGCCGGUGGGUCAGGCCCGAUGCUGGAGCAGCUGUUGAAUGAGCCUUGUCCAAGGCAUGGCUCUAGAGAGAAGCCAACUACUCAUCUAUGGAAGGAUUGUGCAAUCAUGAAGGCCUUUAAGAAAUCCAACGCCUUUAACAGCAACAACGGCCCGGCGGUGGCUCAGGCGCCGGCGGCUUUCAUGGCCCGGUUGGCGGCUCAUAUUCUAGUCCUCAAAACGGUCAAGGGGGCUUUAAUCAGCAGUCUGGCCAGGGACAUCAACAGCAGCAGGGGGGUUAUCAGACCAAUCCAAAGCAGCUUAGCGGUGGACAGUAUCAUGUGUUUACCACCAGUCUGUGUAAGCGAGAUCAGAAGCUUCAUAAGAGGGCUGUGAAUGCUGUUGAGCCGGCAGUUCCACGCUACUUGCAGUGGUCUGAGCAGCCUAUAGUGUGGAGUAGGGAGGAUCACCCUCCCCGGGUGGAUAAUCCGGGUCACUUGGCCUUGGUGGUGGCUCCUCAGGUGGGAGGAUAUAAGUUCACCAAGGUGCUCAUGGAUGGAGGCAGCAGCAUCAACAUCCUCUAUUAUGAGACUUUCCGUCGUAUGGGGUUGAUUGAUAAGAACCUCAGCCAGUCAAACACUAUUUUCCAUAGUGUGGUACCUGGUAAGUCGGCUUAUCCAGUCGCCAAGAUCGAGUUGGAAGUGGCCUUUGGAGAUGAGCACAACUACAGGGUGGAAAAAUUGACCUUUGAGGUGGUCAAGAUAAGAAGUCCGUACCAUGCCAUAUUUGGGCGGCCGGCUUACGCUAAGUUCCUGGCACGGCCGUGUUACGUGUAUUUACAGCUCAAGAUGCCGGGUCAUAAUGGGACCAUUAUGGUUCACGGCAGCCGGAAGGUGGCCCUGGAGUGUGAGGAAGGCGAUGCAGCUUAUGCAGAAUAUGUUUGCGCAACAGAGGAGUUGAAGAUUUACAAAGACAACGUCGACCCAACAGAUAUGACCUCUCUGAAAAAGCCGACUACGGAGCAUGAGCCGGCAAUGAAAUUUAAGUCGGCUGAUGAGACUAAACUUGUUGAUUUCGUUCCAGGAGAUUCAUCUCAGCAGUUUAGCAUCAGUGCCAAUCUGGAUCCAAAAUAGGAAAGCGCGCUCAUCGAGUUCAUCCGUGAGAAUCUUAUGUGGACGAUAUUGUGGUUAAAUCCAGGAAGGAGGAAACCUUGAUAGAUGAUCUGAAGGAAACCUUUGAUAAUCUACGGGUCUACAAGAUGAUGCUUCACCCGGCCAAAUGUGUUUUUGGUGUUCCUGCAGGCAAGCUCUUGGGUUUCUUGGUUUCUAACAGAGGCAUUGAAGCUAACCCGGAGAAGAUCAAGGCCACCACCUCCCUGGCUAAGCCGGCGUGUAUAAACGACGUCCAGCGCUUGGCGGGUCAUAUCGCUGCUUUAAGCCGGUUCAUAAGCCGUGUGGGUGAGAAGGCCAUGCCAUUAUAUCAGUUGAUGAAGAAAACUGAUGACUUUGUCUGGAAUGAUGCAGCUCAUACUUCUUUUGAGGAUUUGAAGAGGCAGCUGGCAGAGCCCCCAGUCCUUGCUGCUUCGGUUGAUAAGGAGCCUUUAUUACUGUAUGUGGCGGCUAACACACGAGCCGUCAGUGUGGCUGUGGUGGUGGAGCGCAAGGAGGAGGGUAAGGAGCAUCCGGUUCAGCGGCCGGUUUACUAUGUCAGCGAAGUGCUCAUCGAGUCCAAACAGCGGUAUCCACAUUGGCAGAAGAUUUUUUAUGGUGUGUUCAUGGCGAGCCGGAAGCUUAAACAUUAUUUCCUGGGUCAUCCCAUCACUGUGGUCAGUUCUGCCCCUCUUGGUGAUAUCAUUCAAAACAGAGAGGCCACAGGGAGAGUGGCUAAGUGGGCUAUAGAGCUCGGACCUCAUGGUUUGAAAUACAUGCCACGCACUGCUGUUAAAUCUCAGGCCUUGGUGGAUUUCAUCAAUGAUUGGACAGAGUCACAAGUGCCCGAGCAAAAGCCGGAUAACACAUACUUGACUAUUCACUUCGAUGGGUCUAGGCAAUUGAAGGGCUCGGGGGCUGGAGUCGUAUUGGCUUCCCCUAAAGGUGACAAGUUCCAUUAUGUGCUACAGUUGAUGUUUCCUUGCACUAACAAUGCGGCUGAGUACGAGGCCUUGCUCCACGGUCUUCGGAUGGCUAAGGAGAUGAGCUUGAGCCGGGUAAGGUGCUUCGGCGACUCAGACUUGGUGGCUCAACAAGUAUCAAGAAAGUGGGACUCCAAGGACCCUCUCCUGGCGGCUUAUCGCCGCGAAGUGGAUGCCAUUGCUGGGCACUUUCAGGGUUACCAAGUAGAGCACAUCGAACGCAGGAAGAACGAGGCGGCUAAUGCUUUAAGCCGGCUGGGCUCUCAGCGAAAACCGGUGCCGCCUAAUACUUUCCUGGAUGUCCUAUAUAACCCUUCUGUUAAGUUGCCUACAGAGGAAGACUUGGCUGUCCCUGAAUCGGAGGCACGACUGGUGGCGGCUCUCCACAUCAUACCGGACUAGACACUGCCCUAUUUGGCUUACAUGACCAGGGGAGAUUUGCCCGAGGAUGAAACUUUGGCCAGACAAAUAACCCGGCGGUCUAAGUCAAUGGUUGUCAUCAAUGAUGAGUUGCAUCGCCGCAGUGUUACGGGAGCGUUCCAGCGUUGUGUCUCCCCUGAGGAAGGCCAAGAGAUCUUGCGCGAGAUUCAUGAAGGGGAUUGUGGCCAUCACGCCGGCUCAAAGUCUCUUGUAGCCAAGGCUUUUCGUCAUGGUUUUUAUUGGCUGACGGCUCAUGCUGAUGCGGAGGACUUGGUCAGUAAAUGUGAUGGUUGCCAAAGGUUCUCGCGACGGGCUCAUGUGCCGGCUCAGGAGCUGAGGAUGAUCCCAAUUACUUGGCCCUUUGCGGUCUGGGGGCUUGAUAUGGUUGGGCCUUUUAAAAGGUCCAAGGAUAAGAAGACCCACCUCUUGGUGGCAGUUGACAAAUUUACCAAGUGGGUUGAAGCGGAGCCAGUUAGCAAGUGUGAUGCAGCCACGGCGGUUCAAUUUAUGAAAAAGGUGUUUUUUCGCUUUGGUUUUCCGCACAGCAUUAUAACUGACAAUGGUACCAAUCUAUCCAAAGGCGCCAUGGAGGAGUUUUGUCAACAAGAGCAUAUCCGGCUUGAUGUUUCAUCAGUGGCUCAUCCUCAAUCCAAUGGUCAAGCUGAGAGGGCCAAUAAGGAGAUUCUGAAAGGCAUCAAGCCCCGGCUGUUGGUCCCUUUGCAACGGACGCCGGGUUGUUGGGUGGAGGAGUUACCCUCCGUGUUAUGGAGCAUCAACACUACUCCUAACAGGUCUACAGGUUUCACGCCUUUCUUCAUGGUUUAUGGGGCAGAAGCAGUCCUCCCCAGUGACAUCCGUCAUGACUCGCCUCGAGUGGCGGCUUAUGUUGAGGCAGAUAAUGAACAGGCGCGCCAAGAUGCUCUUGACUUGUUGGACGAACAGCGUGAUGUGGCAGCAGCUCGUUCAGCGAUUUACCAACAAGACCUGCGCCGUUAUCAUAGUCGCCGGGUUAAAUCCCGGGUCUUCCAGGAAGGCGAUCUGGUGCUCUGGCUCAUCCAAGAUCAAACAGAUGCGCACAAGCUAUCCCCGCCUUGGGAAGGGCCCUUUGUGGUCAGCAAGAAUUUGCACAACGGGUCAUAUUACCUCAUUGACAUUCGGGAGCUCAAAGAUUCACGUAAGUCGGAGGAAGAGACCCGUCGGCCGUGGAAUAUAGCUCAGCUUCGGCCGUACUACACUUGAGCCACCGGCUCUCAUAAUGUACAUAUUUCUCUAAGCCAUGUAUAUAUUAUGAUAAGCAAUAAAGCAGGACCUUUGUCCUUUUUUCUCCUCCAAAUGUGCACGUGUUGUUUUCAUUGCAAGAUCACAUGAUAACUUGAAGGAGGAUCCGGCUUAUGAUCGUAUUCGAAUCUAGCCGUAGGCAAUAAGGUCACUUGGGGGCUUCCUGUUCAAACAUAGGUCGUAUUCAAACCAAAGAGAACAUAGCUGUCGAUACCCAUUUAUUGGCAAAGUGCCGAGCUCAUUGGGGAGUUUUCUUUGAUCAUAUUUGAAUCAUAGUUUAACCUCUUUGAGAACCGACGUGGAUCGUAUUCGAAUCAGCGUCGUUAAACAAUUCUUAAAGUCAUUUGGGGGCUUCCUGUUCAAACAUGGGUCGUAUUCGAACCAAAGAGAACAUAGCUGUCGAUACCCUCUUGAUUGGCAUUGCCACACCCACUCGGGGCUAUAUGAUCGCAUUCGAAUCCUAGCAUAACCCCUUUGGGACGGGUCUCUGGUCGUAUUCGAACCGGAAGCCCCUAAGUUCUUCUGAUUUAUAGCAAGUUCUUCUGAUUAUUUCAAGUGUGCACGGCGGGUCUCACUUGGCCGGCUUAACUUUGAUUUAUAGUACUAGUCGAAUACAAUCGGUGUUAUUAAGACUGGUAAACCGGAAUUGAGGUACCAACCUUAUUACCCGGGUUAUAUAAGCCGGAAGUGUGCUUGCAGGCCGGUAAGUGUGUUAUUACAAGGACAUAAUUGAGGACCAGUCUUUUUUGAUUCAUAUUCCUGGUUAUAUGUCUAAAACUAUGAUUCUCAGUGCGGUAAGCCGCCUAGAGACUUGUGAUUUGUCCUUCUAUGCAGGAUAGUUAAAGGCAACUAUUUGAGCUUAAGGAAAAUGAAUGAUCGAUUAUGACCCGGGAAAAUAUAAAGGAGACAACUUCAAUGGACUUCAGCAUUCAACACGUGCGCGAUGGCACGGCAAAGUUAAAGUGUUGGUCCUACUCUAUUACAAGACUCAUCGAGUCCAAAGGGGUGAAGCAUUGUUUAAUAAGCCACCGGCAGAGUUACGAUGCUUGCUGGGUUGAAGUCUCCGGCUCAUCCCUCUCCUCUCCUCCGGCUGUUCUCAAGACCUGGAAAGUUGACGACUUCUAGUCAAUGCCGCUCAGAGCUUCAAAUUGAGCUUCCUCGUCAAUUAACCCGGCCGGGCCAAUCUCCGGGACGAAGCUGUGCUUACGAGCUGGCGGGACUAAGCUGACAGCUUCAUAACGCGGAGUUGGGAUCCUCUGAUUUUCUGCAUUGUAACCCGGCUGGUACUUGGUCAGAUCUUUGUCGUUUCGAGGGUGGCCAUCGGGCGCACGAUCUUCACGCAGGCUGCAAAGUUCCUUUGGUCGAAGGGUGUGCCGUCUUCCUUCAAACUGGGAUAGCCGAGGGCAAUGUCCGCCGGCUCUAACUCUAGAAGGAACGCCUUGGCCCGGCUCAGAGCGGCAAUAGCUCCGGCUCUUGCAGAGGCCCGCCGUAGCUCUUGGACACGUUGGGGAAGAAUGGCAAGCCGGCGAAGAACUUCCGCCAGAUGAGUCGGCACCUCAUUGGAUAGGGCCACCACAGCCAAAGCACGCUGUGACCCGGUGUAGAGUUGCUCCACCAGGGUGUACAUGGCCUUCAACUUGGUUACCACACUUUGGUUGAGGUUGGCGCUUCUGGGACCUGUUUAACAGAAUAAGAUAAGCCGCCGACAAGGAUGAGUUAUGAGAUAUAAAGAUUAUAAACUUGAUGAAAGCCGGUGGAAUGACUUACCGAAGAUUGCGGCAACCAUUUGGGACACUUGGCGCUUUAAGCCGGAGAGCUCGGCGGUCUUCUCUAACAGAGCCUUCUCCGCCUGUUCGGCCCGGCUCACCAAAGUAGCCUUCUCUUCGGCCCAAGCUUUCCGUUUAGCGUCAAAGUCCGUCUUCAGCUUUUCUUGCGCAGCAAUACUGGACACAAAUUUGGCAUUGGCCUUCCGGGUCUCAGUUUCUUGCGUCUUCAGGCGGGUCUUCAGAUUGGAGAUGUCAGCUUCAAGCUUCUUGCAAGCAGCCUGCAUAAUUUCCGGGUUAUAGCAUGAACAGUUACUAUGCAAAUUUAAUGUCCCAAGCGUUUUCCAAGCAAAGACACUUGGCACUUGGGGGCUAAUGCAUAUCGAACGUUUCUAUCUACAAAUUGCCGGUUCAAGUAAGUAGGCCGGAACUUAAGUCUACAACAUAUUGAAUCAUAAGUCGUCGACUUGGGGGCUAGCAUGGUAAAGAUAACUAUGCAGUAAAGCAGGAAGAGUGUACCUCAGACUUCUGCUGAAUCUGAUUCACCAUGUCGAUCUCUACGUCCCGGCUCUUGUGCACCUGGCUGACAUACCCGGAGACGAUCUCUCCGAUGCUCAGAUUGGCAUAGUCGGUGAGGUCUAGAUUGGCCCGACGGCGCCCUAGCAGCUCUUCUUUGGUGGAGCACUUGGCCAGUGCAGUUGGUCUACCCGGCUCAACAAACUCCGUCCGGGUGAUUACCACGUCCGGGUCAUCGGCCGGGUGAGCCAGGCUAGAGGCCUCCGGGUUAGCAGAAGUUUCUGCGAUUGGCUUGUCGGUUCGAGCGGCGGCUGUGGGAGCAGAGGCAGCUGGCGGUUCUUGAGCUGCAGCCUCCGGUUCAGGCAAGUCCGGCUCGUCAACCGGCUUGUUCUUCUUCGCCCUCUUCGUGAGCUUUGCCUGGGCACUGAAAAGACAAAAAGGUUAGUACAAAGGUAUGAGCAAAGAUAAGCAUAACAAAGAGAUGAUCAUUGUUACCCGGGUACGGUCUUGAAGGCCGGCAGGCUUGAUUGCAUUGAGUCACCAGAGGAGGGUGAGGUUUCCUGAUAGUUUGAAUCAGAAGAAUUGAGCGGUUGACGUAUAACACCCGCCAAAGGAUGAAAAGGGUACAAGUUGGAGAUAACCUCGGUUCGGCGUUUCCUCGAUGCGUCGGGUAAGCCGGAAGAGAGGUCAGCGUCCUUGUUGGUCCGGGUGUGCCGCCGGCUCUCAUGGGUCUGUCGCUUCAAAAGAAAUUGAGGAUCUUGAUAAGCUAAAGGAUGUGAAAAUCUUACUUUCCGGGUUACCCUUCGGACUUUCAGCCUUGGCAAGGGCUCCGAGUCGGAGGAAAGUGACAUUAACUCUUCAACCACCGGGUUACUUGCUCUGGUAUCAUCCUGUUGAAGAACAUUAUUGAUAAGGUGGACAAAAAUAAACAACAAAUAUGACAAGAGCUUACAGGUUCAGGGGUUACCUCUGACUCGGAGCUGUCGCUUAGUUGCAGCAGCUCUAAAGCAGUAGGCCUACUUCCCUUCUUGCAGGGAGCGGCUCUCUUGGCGGCUUUCUUUGCCUUCCUGGCCUUCUUGGCCGCCUCAUGGUCAUAUUUGACCUUCCAGAAUUUGUCAUCAGCCUGAAAAAUACAAUGAUGAUUUCUCAAAGAUUCAGAUGAAGGUUAUCUACAGAAGAAGAUAAGAUGUUCAGAUCAGCGGCUUACUGCUGGGGUUGGGUUGAUCUUGCAGAAGGGGGCUAACCCGGUCCUCCCGCAGUCUGCCAAGCUCUCAUUUAAAAGGGCCUUGGUCAUGUCUUCAGCAACGUCUUCAGGAAGAUCGUUGCGGCUGUGUCGCAAGGGGUCAUCUUUCUGGCCUGUGUAUUCACACAUUAAGCCGGGGCGGCGGCUCAGGGGGAUCACCCGCCACGAGAUCCAGACCCGGACCAGAUCAAUUCCGUUGAGACGAUUGCCCAGGAGAGCCUUGAUCUUGUUGAUGGUGGGGAGUAGAGGUUGGCGCUCCGCCUGAGUUAACUUGUCAGACAGAGGGUGAGUUGGUUCCAGACGUGAAGGGCGAAAGCCGGGCAGCGGGCUCUCGUCAGCCGGCGACGUGUCUUGGCAAUAGAACCACGUCUGGUUCCAGUCCUUUGGGUGACUCGGCGGCUCGGCGUAAGGGAAAAGGCAGUCUCUCCGUCGCUGAAUGGAGAUGCCGCCAAGUUCCAAGCUUGGCCCGUUGGCCCACUCGUUCUGAAGGUUCAGGUAGAAGAGCUCUCUGAAGAGCAGCAGGCUGGGCUCCUCUCCAAGGUAGACUUCGCAGAACACUUGGAAGUUGCAUAUAUUGGACACCGAAUUGGGUCCUAUGUCUUGUGGCCGCAGGUCAAAGAAAUUCAGCACGUCUCUAAAGAACUUUGAGCCGGGCGGUGCGAAGCCCCGGCUCAUGUGAUCCGCAAAAAUCACUACCUCCCCGUCCUUUGGUUGUGGUCUUUCCUCUAACGGGUUAGGGGCACGGUAGGACAUGACGUCCUUCUUAGGCAGGUAACCCCACUUUACAAAAUCCGCUAAGGUCUCGUCGGUGACAUUGGACCUCAUCCAAUUGCAAGUGAUGGAUGCUUUAUGAGCUUUGGGAGGCAUGGUGAAAGUCGGAAGCCUAUGAUAAAAGGAAACAUGCCCGGUUUAAUUAUAAGCCGGAGGAAAUUUACAGUUCAAUGUUAAAAUGGCGGCUUAUGGAGGGGACUAAUGACAUAUGUCUAAGUGCAUCGGGUUAUCUAAGCCGCUGGUGUGCUUGGGAGUAAUUCAAAUUAUCUACAGCCUUGUGGUAAGUGAGCCGGACAAUUUUACGGCGCGUGGCUUCCUUUGAGCCGGAAGGUUCUACGGCGCGUGGUUUCUUUAAACCGGAAAUGUAAACCGCCAUGACUCAACGACGCGUGGUGAAAAGAGGUCUUGGGCUCGAACAGGUUUCCUUGGGAGUGCAGUUUUUUACUAAGUGUGGUGAAAACAGGUUUCACACAUUGCAGUAAAUAAUUUGGAUCAAAAUGGUUGGUCAAAAGGAAAGUUUCUAGACCUAAAAAACAGACGCAGGGGAAGUUCUUGGGCUCGAACAGAGCCUUUAUGCAGUAAAAAGAGGUCUACUCGCAUGUGAAAUGGGUGCUAAACGGCUACCGCAGUGGUUCUAUACAAGGCUAAGAUCAAAAAAGGGCAGUAAAAAUAAAAACUACCAAGAACUCGUGGGCGACGGUGAAGAACACGGAAGAACAGCGGGAGCUUAACGCAGAUCUAUCCUACGAGGAGGAAGGAACUUACAGAUGCAGGGGUCCGCCGCGGUUCUCUGGACAAUUCAGGGUGAUGCAGCGGCCAAGGUCGACGAGGGUGCGGAGCUCUGUUGCGGCGGCGGCGGCGGAGCUCGAGCAGCACAGAGGCAGCGAGAGGAAGGAGAUGACGGAAGGAGGAGAAUGAGAAGACCCGAGGGUCGGGCUACUUAUAAGGCCAGACUCAUAAGUGGGCGCAAGAAACGAGGAGGCCACGGCACGGUUAUCUCGCCUGAGAGGCGCCUCGAUUUUCGGGAUGGCAUUAAAGAUAAGAUCCGUUGUGGAUCUGGUGGAAUAAAAAAUGGACUUAAUGGAAGAUGAUGUCACGGCGGAUUACCCGGAGUCCAGAGGAUGACGUCACGCCGGGUUAUGGCCUUCACACAAUUGUAAGCCGGAGAUUUUCUGUCGAAAGAAUUGAAGAUUGACAUGAGCCGGUUGGGCCUAAUGUUGAGGAUAUAGAACUUAGAGUCACUCGCCAGGAGGGGCCGUCUUACUCAUAAUGGUCAUCGCCAGAAGCCCGGCGCCAAGCUUGAAGAUGGUGGGCCAAAGAUGGGCUUAAGACCCGGAUAUGGCUUAAGGCCCGUAGUUACAAUCAUCAUUAUGGUAGAACUUGUAGUGUAAGGCAAGAAUAGUUGAGAGUCCGAGCCGGACACUCUUAUGAGCCGGCCGGGACUCUGAGAGCCGCUUUGCGUCAGCCUCCCUAUAUAAAGGGACGACCCGGCAGCUGUUUAGGGACAAGAAAGAUCUCAUCGAGAACCGGGCAUAGCAGUUAAGCUCCCUCGUCAUCGAAACCCUAAUCAAUACCACCUCAACUGGACGUAGGCUUUUACCUUCCCCGUAAGGGGCUGAACCAGUAUAAACCCUCAUGUUCCUUGUCCCGUUAACCCCUUCAAGCUUCCUAGCGGCGAUGGCUCCACGACUAAGUCCUAGCUUGAGGACAUCUGCCGUGACAAUUCCACGACAGUAACCGUGGUGACGUGGCAUCAUUAACGUGGGAUUACUGUAGCCUAAUUAUCCGGGCGUCACAAUUCUCCUCCACUACAAGAAAUCUCGUCCCGAGAUUUAAGAGGGGAGUAAGGGGGGAAGUUCUGGUUACGAUAUUCUAACAGAUCUUCUCGAAGAAGUUAACCCCUUUCGUUGAUGUCUUCAAUUCUUUAUUCCAAUGCAUCAUGGUAAAGUUGUCGUCCUUUCUUCGGGAACUCCAUCGUACUUACGAAAGGAUAAGGGGCAGCUCAGCUACGACAGAAUGCUUUUGAGGGAAACAAUCUGGGGUUAACCCAUGAAUGAGCAUAAGAUUGUCUCUCGAGUUGAACAUAUAAAAUACAACGAGAGUAAGGUACGAAGGUACAAUAAGAGGUUCCAAGCGGAUAGAUAGUUGCUCGAAGUCUGAACCAGAGUGAGAAAGGGGUUCAGAGCAGCGAGAGUAAGUAUUGUGUCUCAUACCAGAAUAGAGCACUAGGAAGGUGGCCCGCGAAUUAAAUACGAAGCCAAGUGUGAGGAAUAACCAUUAGAAACAGGGUUGUAUAGAAGAGUCAGGUUUCAAUCCUGUGGAUCUGUGGGUUAUGGGCCCACCAUGUGGGUUAAUAGUAGGAAGGGCGGUGACAUCUUGCACGAUCAUGAUAGCAAGGCAUGUCAGAGGGUAGCCUGUCAGUUAUAUGUCAGCAACAUCGUCGGUACCAAGGGCGAGGGACGAAGAGAACUAUUUUCCUACUCGUUGAAACGAGGCGGACCAUUAGGCAAAGUUCUCGUCCAUCGGUGUUUACCGAAAUGUCACCAACAAUAGUAACAGGGUCUUACUGACAGAGUUGUACACCGAGGUGUGUACAUAAGCAGGAGAAUAUUACUGCUUAGAUCAUAUAGAUCACCAGAAAGGUUAAACCAAACAAUGGAAAGGAAAAUAUGAUUAUCAGAUUAAACAGAAGAAUGGAAAGGAAAAUGUGUUUAAACACAUAUUUCAAUGGUAUAUCCUUCCCAAGGACAAGCAGACCAUGAUAUCCAUGACAUGAUAUAAUGUAGAAAACUCUUUAGGUACGGGAGAGAAAUUUCAUGACAUUACCCAUACAACGGUGUUUGGAUAAUUGAGCAGGAAACAAUUAGCUUUGGGCUUCAAAUGUUCCUGUUGAAAAUCAGAGUACCAUAGACAUGCUUCGAGAUAGCAUUGACAUGGUGAAUAGGUAAGAUUAGGCCAUGGAUACACAAAGGAUCCAUCAGGAACAACUUAUAGAGUAAGUCUUACAAUUUCCUCAUGGAAGAAUAGUUAACCUUGCUAAAAAGGAAAUUAUAUCAAAAGGUCCUCUGGCUAGGGGUGCUAAGAAAAGACACCACCUUACCGGGUUAUGUAGAGACCAAUGUUAUAACUCUUGGAAAUAUGUUCCCACCAUCAUAUCUGACCGAGAUUCAGAUCUGAUUGGUGUCACGAUACCUCAGACUUAGGAUGCCUGAGAAGAAAAAGGUGCGACACAAAUUGACGAUAAGACAUCGUAAGAUUUCUCGGGAAAUGAACCAUGGAAGCUAGUUCUGAAACAAAAGUUCAUCAUUAAUUCAAGGGGGGGGCUUAGGAGGUGGCUGAUAGACUCAGCGACAAUUCAUCGAGAUUUCUAGAAGAUGGAUUUCCCCAACUAUGUGAACAAGGAGAUAACAUUAGCUAGAUCGAAUGACUUAAUGAUGUAUGCUCGAGGAAAACAUACACAGUUAAACAUUGGUUGAAAUGUGCACCCGAAAUAUGGGCUAGGUAUCAUGAUCAAUGUUCGAAUGAUGAUUCAUUAAGCCAUAGACGUAGUAUGAAACUAUAGUCCAAUAACUUCAAAGCAAUAGGGUUGCUAGAAGUUUAGAAUUUACACAUCACAGACCAUUUGUCGGUAUUUCGUUUAGAAACAACACGGGGACCAAGAAAGAAUGGUGAUGGUGAGAAGUAUCACUGUACCAAGAAUUCUUAAGAGGUGGAGUAAUGCUCACGACAUUCUUGACAUCAAAGACGGUAAUACUCCACGGUAGAACAUAACAUAGGUUGGAUAGCAGGGAAAUCAAGAUACAACACAAAAUAUGAACAAGUUUGUGUUGAGGGGAGGCAAGAAUGUUGUCGAUGAUAACACAAUUCAUCGAGGGGCAAGGAUGGUAUUUCUCACCCUGAAUUUCGACACACAACUUGGAACAAGUCAAAUUGUUGACAAUGAUCACGACAAAUUUGUCAAGAGGUCUUCAAGGAGAUGUAGCUGAUCGACGAUGACAUCAAGUCAAAGGAAUGAUGAAAGCGAAAGCUUAUUGGAACCACGGGUAGGACACGAACUCGAAAUCAAGUUUGCUGUUCAAGGAGAAGUGAUAUGACGAGGAAGAUCGACGUAAGAUUAGCUUACCGUCGAAGGUUGUGCUCCGUGAUUAAGGACCAGGUAGCACAGUUAAAAUCAGCACGAUAAUGAUGUAGCCGAGCAGGCUAGGGAUGACGUGAUCGAGUACGAACUCGUAAGCAAAGGAGAUUACUAAGAGUUGUUUAAUCGUGAUGCGGACUCGAUUCAGUUAUCGAUGUCCUUGAGUGUUUAAUAACUCGGAGCCCGUGAAAAAUUGGAAUCAAUGAGAAUGUAAUACUUGAUGGAGAACUCAUAAUAAAUUAUGCAGUUCCGUGAUAAUCUCGAGAUACCAGGGGGGUAAUACUCGACGACAACCCAAAGUAGAGGUUGAACUGGGGUAUUGCUCUUCAGAAGACAAUUACUUAAACUUGCCCGAGAAAUGGGAUCAAAGAAGAACAUAUGGUCGGAACCACAAUUGCAAAGGAUCAAUUCACCGAUACCAAUGGAUAUUAUAUCAAGGAAAUAGUUAUUAUUACAAGAAGCUUCCAUGAUAGGAUCUACAUCGUGUCCAUGGGCAUGAACACAAAGUUCAAGGUCGGCUCCCACUUCUCCAAUGCACACCCUUUCAUUCACUGCCCUAUUAAAAUAAUUUGAGUGCGAAGACCUACCUGGUUAAUUACCAGAGGAGUAUGAACCUUGGAAAACUUUCGGGUUCACACAGAUUAAGGAAGGCAUAGGUUCAACCCAUCAGGGCAUCUUAGGAACAUAUACCACAAACUUCGGAGUAAAUAUUACAAGCUCGAAAGAAGAGCAUUGUUCAAAAGCAGAUGAUACAAUUUACCAAAGGCAUUAUAUACCCAUGGAAAGGCUCACAAGGUUAUUCAAUAUGAAGGACACUGUCGGAUAAAAUCCGACAAAAGGGUCUGGUGGUCCACAAGGGAUCUGAUGUGAGCAUCAGUACUCAACCAGAGGAAGAAAGAAUGCAAGGAGAUCAGAUUAUAGAAACAACUGACAAACUCAAAGCUCAAUGCAAAGGAAUUAUAAUUUCAAAUUCAAGGGACCAGAAGCAAACGCUCUGAUUAGGGCUGGAUAAGUUGAGUAGACUUAGGGGUACAAUCGACAGCAAUUUGAUUGGUUGACAACCAGUUCACGUUUCAAAUGACGUCUGAGCCGGAAGGAUGAAUUCUAGGCUCUGAUUGAGGAUUGCGAGCAUCCGCAACAUAUUGAAUCAAUGGACUCAAAAAGAUAAGGACAAAGGGUGCCAAUAAGAUUUCGAGACUUAUGGGAUUAAUCAUAAUGCUAGUAAGCAAGAAUUUCAAGAGCAAUAGGCUCCUGAGGAUUUUCGGAAGAUCGAAUGGUAUUCUGAACACUUUUGUGAAAUACUUGAAUCAACUGGGGAUGAGCGGAUACUCGGUAAGUGCGAGAAUUAUCCGUAGGGGUAUUCAGGUGACAAAGAACAGCAAGGUACUAAGCUCAAAGGAUUCUCGGAACAACAGAGAGAAUUUCGGGGUAUCUUGUAAUAACAAGAUAACUGGGGAACAUUGUAUGAAUGGCGAGUAUACGUGGUUAUCCAUAGGAGUUUAUCGAUGAAAGGGAAUUGCAAAAGCGAUGAACACAAGUUCUCGGGUUAUCAGCGGAGAGUAUCUUCAGGGUCUUCACGUGCAGCAGACGAUCAUCAGUAAUAAGGGGCUCUCCGGGUGAAAGUGAUAACGAGAUCCUAAUGUUAGAUUUAGCAAAAUUCACUUAACCCGAAUAGAAGAGAGAUCAGAGUCCCAGAGUAUAGGCAAGGAGGAAAAGAUCCCAAUAUUACCCAAUGGCGACGUGGGCCCGUAAGCCACACAGCCAUGUUAGUAAAAGUUUUUCAAUGACUAGACUCGACUUCGGCCAAGGAGUUGGAAAGGGGGAUUCCUACAGGCAGUCGGCUCUGAUACCAACUUGUGACGCCCCAGAUUUGACCGUACACUAAUCAUGCACGCAAAUGUGUACGAUCAAGAUCAGGGACUCACGGGAAGAUAUCACAACACAACUCUACAACAUAAGUAAGUCAUACAAGCAUCAUAAUACAAGCCAGGGGCCUCGAGGGCUCGAAUACAAGUGCUCGAUCAUAGAUGAGUCAGCGGAAGCAACAAUAUCUGAGUACAGACAUAAGUUAAACAAGUUUGCCUUAAGAAGGCUAGCACAAAAGUAGCAACGAUCGAAAAGGCAAGGCCUCCUGCCUGGGACCUCCUAACUACUCCUCGAAGCCGAACUCCAGGUAGAAUCAUCCUCGGGAUCUCUAGCUCCUGGACUCUAGCAUCUGGUUGCGACAACCAGGUACAGAAAGGGGAAAAGAGGGAGAAAAGCAACCGUGAGUACUCAUCCAAAGUACUCGCAAGCAAGGAGCUACACUACAUAUGCAUGGGUAUAUGUGUAAAGGGCCAUAUCAGUGGACUGAACUGCAGAAUGCCAGAAUAAGAGGGGGAUAGCUAAUCCUGUCGAAGACUAUGCUUCUGGCCACCUCCAUCUUGCAGCAUGUAGAAGAGAGUAGAUUGAAGUCCUCCAAGUAGCAUCGCAUAGCAUAAUCCUACCCGGCGAUCCCCUCCUCGUCGCCCUGUUAGAGAGCGAUCACCGGGUUGUAUCUGGCACUUGGAAGGGUGUAUUUUAUUCAGUAUCCGGUUCUAGUUGUCAUAAGGUCAAGGUACAACUAUGGGUCGUCCUUUUACCGAGGGACACGGCUAUUCGAAUAGAUAAACUUCCCUGUAGGGGUGCACCACAUAACCCAACACGCUCGAUCCCAUUUGGCCGGACACACUUUUCUGGGUCAUGCCCGGCCUCGGAAGAUCAAAACGUCGCAGCCCCACCUAGGCUCAACAGAGAGGUUAACACGCCGGUCUAAAUCCUAUGCGCGCAGGGGUCUGGGCCCAUCGCCCAUUGCACACCUGCACGUUGCGAGGGCGGACGGAAGCAGACCUAGCCUAGUAGGCGUUCCAGUCCAAUCCGGCGCACGCCGCUCCGUCGCUGACGUCAAGAAGAGCUUCGGCUGAUACCACGACGUCGGGAUACCCAUAACUACUCCCGCGUAGAUGGUUAGUGCAUAUAGACCAAAUGGCCAUACUCAGAUCAAAUACCCAGAACUCGUUAAGCGUGUUAUUUAUCCGCGAACGCCGACCAGGGCCAGGCCCACCUCUCUCCUAGGUGGUCUCAACCUGCCCUGUCGCUCCACAAUAAAGUAACAGUCGGGGCCGUCAGGAACCCAGGCCCACCUCUACCGGGAUGGAGCCACCUGUCCUUUCAGCCCCCUCAUCAGAAUCACUUGCGGGUACUCAACGAGCCGACCCGACUUUAGUCACCACAUGUGUCAUCUAUAUAAAGUAUAUAGUAUAUACCCGUGAUCACAUCCCGAAGUGAUCACGGCCCAGUAGUAUAGCAUGGCAGACGGACAAGAGUGUAGGGCCUCUGAUGGAACACUAGCAUCCUAUACUAAGCAGUAGGAUAGCAGGUAAGGGUAACAACUGUAGCAACAAUGACAGGCUAUGCAUUAGGAUAGGAUUAACGGAAAGCAGUAACAUGCUACACUACUCUAAUGCAAGCAGUAUAGAGAGGAAUAGGCGAUAUCUGGUGAUCAAGGGGGGCUUGCCUGGUUGCUCAGACAAGAAGGAGGGGUCGUCGGUGACGUAGUCGACCACAGGGGCAGCAUCGGUCUCGGGGUCUACCAGAGAGAAGAGGGGGAAGAAACAGUAAAUACAAUGCAAACAUAAGCAUGACGAUGCGUGGCAUGACAAUGAGCGGUGCUAGGUGUGCCCUAACGCGGCAGUAGGUGGUACCGGCGAAGGGGGGGAACAUCCGGGAAAGUAUUCCCGAUGUUUCGCGUUUUCGGACAGAUGAACCGGAGGUGAAACGUUAUAGGUUCACUAUGCUAGGGACGCGUGGCGGACGAACGGGCUGCGUAUCUGGAUUCGUCUCGUCGCUGUGAGCAACUUUCAUGUACAAAGUAUUUUCAUCCGAGCUACGGUUUAUUUUAUAUGAAUUUUAAAAGAUUUAAAUUAAUUUCUGGAAUUUAUUUAAUUAUUUAAUAUAUACAUUAUCCGAAACAGUGUUGUGAUGACAUCAGCAUGACAUCAUGCUGACGUCAGCAGUCAUCUCACACGUGGGUCCCACAUGUCAUAGACUGAUCAGGGUAAUUAGGGUUAACUAAUUAAUUAACUAAUUAAUUAGAUUAAUCUAAACAAGAUUAAUUAACUAAUUAUUUUAUUUAUUUAUGUAUUUAUUUUUAUUAAUUAAUUUAUUGUUUUUAUUAUUAUUAUUUUUAAUUCUUUUUUUAUUAAACGUUCUGGGGUCGGGCCCCACAUGUCUGUGGCCCCGGGGGCCUAGUGGGUUUGCGGGCGCAGGGUGCGGGCGUGCGGGUGUGGUGCCCGUGCCAGAGUCCGACCACCAGGGGGGGCGCCGGCGACAGCAGGGCACGACAAGGCCGGCCGCCGGAGGCGACAACGGUGAGGCCACGGCGGGGCGGCGCCAGGGCGCGGCAGAGAGGCCUCGGCGGGNNNNNNNNNNNNNNNNNNNNNNNNNNNNNNNNNNNNNNNNNNNNNNNNNNNNNNNNNNNNNNNNNNNNNNNNNNNNNNNNNNNNNNNNNNNNNNNNNNNNNNNNNNNNNNNNNNNNNNNNNNNNNNNNNNNNNNNNNNNNNNNNNNNNNNNNNNNNNNNNNNNNNNNNNNNNNNNNNNNNNNNNNNNNNNNNNNNNNNNNNNNNNNNNNNNNNNNNNNNNNNNNNNNNNNNNNNNNNNNNNNNNNNNNNNNNNNNNNNNNNNNNNNNNNNNNNNNNNNNNNNNNNNNNNNNNNNNNNNNNNNNNNNNNNNNNNNNNNNNNNNNNNNNNNNNNNNNNNNNNNNNNNNNNNNNNNNNNNNNNNNNNNNNNNNNNNNNNNNNNNNNNNNNNNNNNNNNNNNNNNNNNNNNNNNNNNNNNNNNNNNNNNNNNNNNNNNNNNNNNNNNNNNNNNNNNNNNNNNNNNNNNNNNNNNNNNNNNNNNNNNNNNNNNNNNNNNNNNNNNNNNNNNNNNNNNNNNNNNNNNNNNNNNNNNNNNNNNNNNNNNNNNNNNNNNNNNNNNNNNNNNNNNNNNNNNNNNNNNNNNNNNNNNNNNNNNNNNNNNNNNNNNNNNNNNNNNNNNNNNNNNNNNNNNNNNNNNNNNNNNNNNNNNNNNNNNNNNNNNNNNNNNNNNNNNNNNNNNNNNNNNNNNNNNNNNNNNNNNNNNNNNNNNNNNNNNNNNNNNNNNNNNNNNNNNNNNNNNNNNNNNNNNNNNNNNNNNNNNNNNNAGAGGCGGGCGGUGGCUUCGGGCGGCGCGGCUGGGGCCGGGCCGGGGAUGGACGCCUGCGGCGGAGGCACGGGAUCGGGCUCCUCCCCGAUCCAAGCGAGUGGGGAGGGAGAGAGUGGGGGAUCUGGGGGAGAUGGGGAUAGGUUAGGGUUUGGGGUCGGGGGAAGUGGCCUUGUAGGCCAGAGAGACUGGGUGGGUUGUGGGCUGGCCUGGCGAGCAGCUGGGCCGACUGGCCCAGUGGGGAGGGGGGUUCUCUUCUUUUAUCUUUUUUUCCUUUGUUUUCUGUUUUCUUUUCUUUAUAUAUUUUCUUUUCUAUUUUAUUCUUUUAAUUCCUGUUUUAUAAAAUAUAAAUACAACUCCUAAAUUAAUGUUAUAAUUUAUUCUACUGCCCCAAAAAGUUUGACACCUAAAUAAAAUAGUUUGCAUUAUUAUUAUUUUUAAAAGGCAUUUAAUUAAUUGUCAUAGCUGCUGUUUUAAUUACUUUAGAGCCUUUAAACAUUUUAUAAAAGUGUGGUUUCUCCACAAUAUUUACCUAUGCAAUAUUUGGCAACACCCCAACAGUUUAGUUUUAAUAUUUGAAAAUCUUUACCGUUUUACUUUAUUUUAAGUUUGAAUUUCGAAUCGAUUUUGAACUAACACGAGAUUAACAACAGUAACCGUGGUGACAUGGCAUCAUUAACGUGGGAUUACUGUAGCCUAAUUAUCCGGGCGUCACAACGGAACCACAAUCAAUCACGGGGAAUGCACAAGCAACA